rnacentral:rRNA from 1 species
UUUGAACGCUGGCGGCAUGCCUUACACAUGCAAGUCGAACGGCAGCGCGGACUUCGGUCUGGCGGCGAGUGGCGAAUGGGUGAGUAAUACAUCGGAACGUACCCUGUUGUGGGGGAUAACUAGUCGAAAGAUUAGCUAAUACCGCAUACGACCUGAGGGUGAAAGUGGGGGACCGCAAGGCCUCACGCAGCAGGAGCGGCCGAUGUCUGAUUAGCUAGUUGGUGGGGUAAAGGCCCACCAAGGCGACGAUCAGUAGCUGGUCUGAGAGGACGAUCAGCCACACUGGGACUGAGACACGGCCCAGACUCCUACGGGAGGCAGCAGUGGGGAAUUUUGGACAAUGGGGGCAACCCUGAUCCAGCAAUGCCGCGUGUGUGAAGAAGGCCUUCGGGUUGUAAAGCACUUUUGUCCGGAAAGAAAUCGCGCUGGUUAAUACCUGGCGUGGAUGACGGUACCGGAAGAAUAAGCACCGGCUAACUACGUGCCAGCCGCCGCAGUAA